ensembl:lncRNA
ACUCGUAAACCAAACUUUAUUGAUGCAUUUAUUUAAUUGGAACCUCGAUGCCUCUAUGCCCCCCGUACGAUACAUUCAGUAUAUACAUUUGGCCGUGAGGAACCCUACAGAGAUGUUCUAGUAGUGCAUACAGUACAUACGUAGCAACAACAUGUACACGCACAAACUCACACACAUACAUGCCACUUUGCCACACGCGGUGGCCAGCAACACACAGAGCAGGUCGAUGACGGCUAAAGGCUGGUUAAACGCUGAAAUCCCUCCAUGCAUGUAGUCAUCACACACACACACACACGAUUUAAGACACUUCUCAGGGGAGAGGGGACUCAAAAUGAAAAAAGGACAUGACAAGGGGGCUUGCUGAUCGAAACAAUGGCCCAUUAUCCGCCAGGAGAGCCCCCCCUCCUUCACCUCCCUCCCACACACCACCCCUCCACCUCCACCUCCUCUACCCUCUCCAUCCUUUCCCUUAAGACGCCUCCGCCUUAGCUUGCUCCGUCUCAAACCUAGAUCUCUCUUUAGACAAACAGAGCGAGAUCCCUCCAGAACCAUCCAGAAUACAAGGAGAAAGGGUCGGUUGGUUCAGUCAUCGAGUAAACAUUCAUAUUCUAGCCUCGUAAUGUAAUGGCUAGGUCCAUACACCUUUCUGUAAAGCCAUCUUCGCAACAUCCACAGACAACCAGUCCUUUAGCACUCAGCUCACUGACCGGAGCCUUACGACAUCGGCCCGUCCUGUCUGCUCACAUUCUUUUCCAUUGAGAAUAAAAUUGAAGCCACACUUUGUACCAGUCAUCGUUUCCAAAGUACUAGACAUACGCACAAACCAUAAUGUCCCCCUUUGGCAAUAGCUUCAAUUGGGGAUUAGACACACACACUCUCACACUCACACAUGUUCACAUGGAUUUUCUCUGUAGUAUUUCUGAAUGUGAGGGACUGGCUGUGUGGCCCACUUCUGUCAGAUUAACCACCACAUGUUCCUAUUCGCUUUAAAUUUUAAAUUUGCGAUAUUCAAUGUGAAAAAUGGCAGAAUAUAAUCAAUUGCAAUUUCUGUUAUUUGCAAAUGACAGCAUGGAGUCCAGAUCAAAAUCAGAUUUUGCUGUGUGGCAGCAUUUAGAUUAACACAUGCAGAAUUAGUCUAGCCAUGGCAGCAAUGGAUCGAUAAUACUCAUAAAUAAUGCAAAUGUUAAAUGUAAUAAAUAAUGAAGUAAUUGGGCUGGAUCAAGGUCCUAUUUAUUAAGCCGAUAAACUGUGAAGCACUUAGAGGGUUUCCUCCUUUGGUUUGUACCGGCAGGGCAGCAGACACACACACACACACACACACACACACACACACACACACACACACACACACACACACACACACACACACACACACACACACACACACACACACACACACACACACACACACAGCGCAACAGGUCCAUGGAGGAGAGGUUUUAAUGCUUGUUGGGGGCGGUUAUCGCUUGUCCAUUUCAGACACAGGAGCAUGCUGUGAUUGGUCCGGGGGGGCUUCCGCUAAAACAGUCCCGCAACAAUCUCAUUGGUCAGGACAAAUCAUGACUCCAUUCUCAAGGUAGCUAGGCCACAGAGGCAAACUAGUGUUACCAGAUCUCCAACAAAGAAAACCAAACCAAAAGAAAACGCAGAGCACCACAGUAGAAGAGGCCUGUCGGGGAAUCCCGACACUUAGAACCCGAACUCAAACACGAUCACGAUUCGGCGCAAGAAGGAUGAGGAGUCACAACAUCAGGAAGAAUUACCCCAGAAUAAAUUACAUGUCACAGCACAAUCAUCCAAAGAAGCAGGAAAUGGAAAUCAGCUGAUCCACCGGACUGAUUGGACCCAUGCAUUAUAAGGCAUUAACCAAACAUUUGUU